UACGUAGGGUGCGAGCGUUGUCCGGAAUUAUUGGGCGUAAAGAGCUCGUAGGCAGUUUGUUGCGUCGGGAUGUGGAAAGCCCCGGGGCUUAACCCCGGGUCUGCAUUCGAUACGGGCAGGCUAGAGUUCGGUAGGGGAGAUCGGAAUUCCUGGUGUAGCGGUGAAAUGCGCAGAUAUCAGGAGGAACACCGGUGGCGAAGGCGGAUCUCUGGGCCGAUACUGACGCUGAGGAGCGAAAGCGUGGGGAGCGAACAGG
rnacentral:rRNA from 1 species